rnacentral:rRNA from 1 species
AUGGUGAAGAAGGUGAAACGCGGUAUUGACAAGGGUCUUUCCAAAUACAAGUGCUAUCGCAUUGAUGACAGAGACACUUUGUUAUUCGAGGACCGGAUUGUGGUUCCUAAAGGUGAUCUAAGGAAAGUCAUUAUGAACGAGGCGCACAAUUCUCUUCUUUCCAUUCAUCCUGGAAGUACGAAGAUGUACCAUGACCUCAAGCAGUCGUAUUGGUGGACUCGAAUGAAGCGAGAAAUCGCUCAAUUCGUGAAUGAAUGUGAUGUCUGUCGAAGAGUGAAAGCAGAACACCAACGACUAGCUGGUCUCCUCCAACCUAUUGCUAUCCCAGAAUGGAAGUUUGAUCAUAUCGAAAUGGACUUCGUGACUGGAUUUCCAAAGUCCAAGCGCGGAAAUGAUGCUAUCUUCGUUGUCAUCGACAAGCUUUCUAAAGUGGCUCAUUUCCUUCCAAUCAAAGAGUCUAUCACAACAGCUCAGUUGGCAGAGCUAUACACCUCCAGAAUUGUCUCCUUGCACGGCAUUCCACAAUUGAUUUCUUCAUAUCGUGGAAGCAUCUUCACUUUUAAGUUUUGGGACUCCGUCCAGAAGGCCAUGGGCACCAACAUUUGCUUCAGCAUAGCUUUCCAUCCUCAAACUAGUGGCCAAGUCGAGCGAGUCAAUCAAAUUCUGGAAGAUAUGCUCAGGGCUUGUGUCAUUUCUUUUGGCAUGAAAUGGGAAGAUUGUCUUCCAUAUGCCGAAUUCUCUUACAACAACAGCUUCCAAGCAAGUUCGGGCAAGGCCCCAUUCGAGAUUCUCUAUGGCAGAAAGUGCCGUACUCCUCUCAAUUGGUCAGAGACUGGUGAACGCCAACUUCUUGGCAAUGACGUAAUCACAGAGGCUGAAGAAAUGUGUAAAGUCAUUCGUGAUAAUCUCAAAGCCGCGCAAUCGCGCCAGAAGAGUUACUAUGAUAGUAAGCACCGUGAUUUGGUUUUCGAGAUCGGAGACCAUGUCUACCUCCGCGUCUCUCCAAUGAAAGGCACUCGUCGCUUCGGUAUCAAAGGGAAGCUUGCCCCUAGAUGCGUGGGUCCUUUCAAGAUCAUUGGCAAAAGAGGCGACCUCGCCUAUCAACUUGAGCUUCCUUCCAACUUCGCGAACGUGCACGAUGUGUUCCACGUGUCACAGCUUCGCAAGUGCUUCAAGACGCCCGAGCGCACCAUCAACUUCGAAGAGAUUGACCUCCAAGAAGAUCUGUCUUACCAUGAGCACCCCGUUGCUAUUCUUGAAGAAACUGAGCGCAAGACUCGCAACAAGUCAAUCAAAUUCCUGAAAGUGAAGUGGUCGCACCAUUCCGACCGGGAAGCCACCUGGGAACGCGAGGACCACCUCCGUUCCGAAUAUCCGGAGUUCUUUCAGUCCUAG